CGACGGACAGGUGGGAGCAGUUAGACAGCUGGAGUCUCGGAGACCGGCACGCAGAGAGAGGGAGGGAGAGUCAGGGGAAGGAGAGAGAGAGAGGAGGGCGAGGGAGAAGCAGCCUCGUGCUCCCUUCCUCCAGACGGCCUCUCUCCUCUGUCCAAGGGAAGCGGCUGGGGCAUCGAGUGACAGAGCGACAGAGAUGCGGGCACAGAAGACGGGGAGAGGGGCCCUGCCUCGCUAGUGGGACCGAGACUCGCGGAGGGAUAGACCGACGCGAGGGGGCAGCUCGGAGACCUGAGCGCGGGACGGCGAGAAGCCCGCGCUGGGCUGCCAGGCUGAGCGACGGACGGCCAGACAGACAGACGUGCCCGGGGACGGACCGGCAGACAGGAGGCGGGGGCACGCUCGCUCUCCGCAGGCAGCAGGGCGGAGAAGGCGGCGGCGGCGCUCCCUGAGCGCCUCCGGAGCAGCGACGAGCAGCAGGGGCCGCGGGGUCGCCGGCUGAAGCCACCGCCGUCGCCGCAGUCCUGGCCGCCGCAGCCCUGCCAGGAGCCCCGCCGACGCCGCAGAAGGCUCCUUUUACUAGCAGUUAAAUAAACCCACCAAUAAUAACAAUAAUACUAAUAACCCAAGCCAAACCAAACAAAUACAGCCAAAUCGAUCCGUGAGAAACAAUAAUAUUAAUAAAAGCCAAAAACUAAAUCAGAUCAAUCAAGGCACCGAGACGCUGGGGGGAUAUCCACUGUUCGGUCAAGGUGGAUGAUGUGUCAGGCUGUGUAAGGGAAUCGCAUGGAGAUGGGCGUUUUGAACUGUUAAUGGGGACAUGGGACUCCCGCUGUCUCUGAUCCCUCGUGUGGAUUUUCCCGACGUAGAAGGACAGAAGCCGCUCGUAAGUCGCCAAGACCGACAGCAGAAAUUCUGCGCAAAAGGGUGUCAAAUCUUGUUAUUUUAAUUUGCAUCUGGGAGAAUGUCUGAGCCAGGAGACCUGAGUCAGACCAUAGUGGAGGAAGGCGGGCCUGAGCAGGAGACGGCCACUCCAGAGAAUGGCGUGGUUAAAUCCGAAAGUCUGGACGAGGAGGAGAAACUGGAAUUACAGAGGCAACUGGCGGCUCAGAACCAAGAGAGAAGAAAAUCCAAGUCAGGAGCAGGGAAAGGUAAACUGACUCGCAGCCUUGCUGUCUGUGAAGAAUCCUCAGCCAGACCAGGAGGGGAAAGUCUUCAGGACCAGGAAUCAAUUCAUUUACAGCUUUCCAGUUUUCCCAGCCUGCAAGAGGAUGAUAAAUCUAGGAAAGAUGACUCUGAAAGAGAAAAAGAAAAGGAUAAAAACAAAGAUAAAACCUGUGAAAAACCCAAGAUCAGAAUGUUAUCAAAAGAUUGCAGCCAAGAAUAUACGGAUUCUACAGGCAUAGACUUACACGAGUUUCUGAUUAACACAUUAAAGAAUAAUUCCAGAGACAGGAUGAUACUCUUGAAAAUGGAGCAGGAAAUUAUUGAUUUCAUUGGUGACAACAAUAAUCAUUAUAAAAAGUUUCCUCAGAUGUCGUCCUAUCAGAGGAUGCUUGUCCAUCGAGUGGCAGCUUACUUUGGGUUGGACCACAACGUGGAUCAAACAGGGAAAUCUGUCAUCAUCAACAAAACCAGCAACACAAGAAUACCAGAGCAAAGGUUUUGUGAACAUUUAAAAGAUGAAAAAGGUGAAGAAUCCCAGAAGCGGUUUAUCUUGAAGCGAGAUAACUCUAGUAUUGAUAAAGAAGACACUCAGCAAAACAGAAUGCAUCCAUUUAGAGAUGACAGACGAAGUAAAUCAAUUGAAGAGAGAGAAGAGGAAUAUCAGAGAGUGAGGGAGAGAAUAUUUGCACACGAUUCAGUUUGCUCCCAGGAAAGCCUUUUUGUGGAAAACAGUAGGCUCUUGGAAGACAGUAACAUAUGCAGUGAGACCUAUAAGAAAAGACAGCUCUUUCGGGGCAACAGAGACAGCUCGGGGAGAACAUCUGGAAGUCGGCAGAGCAGCUCGGAGAAUGAACUCAAGUGGUCCGACCACCAAAGAGCCUGGAGCAGCACAGAUUCUGACAGCUCCAACCGCAAUCUCAAGCCUGCCAUGACCAAGACGGCGAGUUUUGGGGGCAUCACGGUGCUGACCAGGGGUGACAGCACAUCCAGUAGCAGGAGUACCGGGAAACUGUCCAAAGCAGGUAGUUCUGAGUCCUCCAGCAGUGCAGGCUCCUCAGGAUCGCUGUCGCGUACCCAUCCACCUCUCCAGAGCACACCGCUGGUCUCCAGCGUGACAGCCACUUCUCCCGGCUGUGUGACCUACCCAGAGAAUGGGAUGGGAGGCCAGGUCGCUCACAGCAGCACCAGCUACAUCCUCCUUCCACUCGAAGCUGCCACAGGCAUCCCACCCGGAAGCAUCCUUCUUAAUCCACAUACAGGCAUCUGGAUGAGGGAGUCAGAAGCUCUGACUCAAAGCUAUCCCUGGACCACAUCUUCAUCCUUGCCAGGCCAGCCCUUCGUGAAUCCCGAUGGAACCCCCGCCAUAUACAACCCCCCCACCAGCCAGCAGCCCCUGCGAAGCGCGAUGGUGGGGCAGCCCCAGCAGCAGCCCCAGCAGCAGCCCUCCCCGCGGCCCCAGCAGCAGGCCCAGCCACCCCAGACGCAAAUGGCAGGCCCAUUGGUCACUCAGUCUGUCCAGGGGCUGCAGGCUUCCUCCCAGUCAGUGCAAUACCCAGCUGUGUCUUUUCCUUCCCAGCAUCUCCUGCCCGUGUCUCCGACGCCGCAGUUCCCCAUGAGAGAGGAUGUGACCACGCAGUUUGGCCAGAUGAACCUGAGCCGGCAGUCCUCGGGGGAGACUCCCGAGCCCCCAGCCGGCCCUGUCUACACACCAUCCCUCCUGCCGCAGCCCACCCAGCAGCCAAGCUACGUCAUUGCCUCCACAGGCCAGCAGCUCCCAACGGGAGCCUUCUCGGGCUCUGGCCCUCCCAUCUCUCAGCAAGUACUCCAGCCCCCUCCCUCGCCCCAGGGAUUUGUGCAACAGCCUCCACCCACACAGAACAUCACCAGCUCAACUCAUCUCGCUCUUCUGGUCCAUACUGAUAUUCCCAGCCUACAGGACCCGGUUUGUGGCAUUCAUCAGUUGUGUGAAGUCUUGGGGGCUCAGAAAAUGCCUGUAUAUUAUUAUCCAUCUGGUCAGUACCCUACCUCAACCACGCAGCAGUACCGGCCCAUGGCCUCUGUUCAGUUCAGUGCUCCGAGGGGCCAGCAGAUGCCGCAGACAGCACAGCAAGCAGAUGCAUUCUAUCUACUCAUCCUCAAUAAAUAUGAAAAACUGAUCAUUUCACAGCUAAGAAUUGACAAACGGGAACACAUUUCUCAUUUGAAUGGACGAGAUAAGCAGGUUGCCACCAGCCAGUGCUGCCACCUCUGCCUUCAGGCAAGCUGUGUCCCCGGUAGACCCUGUUAGUUCGUGCUUAGGUCACUGCUAUCACAUUUCUAUUUGUCUAUUCCUGGACCGGAGCUCAGAUUCACAUUCCAAAUAGCCUCCUGUCUCAAGGACCAUUCUGCUGCUUACCUUCUGUAGCAUCAUGUAAAGAAACGGGGCGCUCCAAUUAAACCAUUCCAGGUGUAAAUUUCUUGCCUGGAGAGCGAAUUGAGAAAUGAAUGGGGUUCAUGAAUAUAAAUUGGGCUUUCCUUACACUUAAGUUUUCAUUUGGAAAUUGUAUGGCAUGAUUUGCUACCCACAUAAAUCUUUAUUUGCCUUAAGUGUGUUUACUGUGGGAAUCCCAGUGCACAGCUGGUAGCCCAUUGCUAUGCAUGACUGAAUAUUAAAGUUCACAAAUCAUCAGGCAGAGGGGGGCUUGGGGAGGGCGACAUCGCAGCGUCCCUGCAUCUCUGUGCUCAGCAAAGAUGAAUCACACCCUCCCGGGCCGUGUACCUUUACUGGGACGAGGCCACCCAGCCUCCUCACUCUUUUUCUCUCCUUGAAUAUUAUUUGACAGUUGCUUCCCCUUUCUACCAAGACAUUCUGUUUUCUGUAUGUCUUAACAGCUCUGUUAUCAUCAGACUUAUUUUUCCUUUCACCCCAAUUUUGGUUUCUAGAGCUGAUGUAAUAAAUGAAUCUUUCAUAGGCCACCUCAAUUUAUUUUUGAACAGACUCUGUGAAACAGAGUCAUUUUGAAGGUGACUCAAUGAAAGGAUGGUACGAUUCAAUAAGCAAAUACAUCAUCUUUAGAUGCAAGGCCACUGGACCUCUCCUGCCCUCCCCUCUCCCCUCCUUUCCUCUCCUCUUUUUGUUUACAUAAUAGCCAUGUGUGUUCUGCAACAGGACCAUUGAGGCCAACUGGGCUUUCACCAGAAGACUAAAUAUAAGUCAGACUUUUAGAAGACAUUUCUCUCAUUUUCAACCUGUACUUUGAAUCUUCAGCCAGAAAUAAGGCACCAUUACACGGACUUGGAAGUGUGCUCACAUUGCCUGCUCCUUGUUAUAGAACUAGGAAAUGGUUACCAGCCGCUCUUGUCUGGUCAACAGGGGUUCCAAGGCCUCAUGGGGGUGCAGCAGCCGCCUCAGAGUCAGGGCCUGAUGAGCAGC